GACGAACGCUGGCGGUGUGCUUCACACAUGCAAGUCGAACGAGGUAGCAAUACCUAGUGGCGGACGGGUGAGUAACGCGUGGGAAUCUGCCUUAAGAUGGGGGAUAACGAGCCGAAAGGCUCGCUAAUACCGCAUAUGCCGAAAGGUGAAAGGAGUAAUCCGUCUUAAGAUGAGCCCGCGUCCGAUUAGCUAGUUGGUAGGGUAAAGGCCUACCAAGGCGACGAUCGGUAGCUGGUCUGAGAGGAUGAUCAGCCACAAUGGGACUGAGACACGGCCCAUACUCCUACGGGAGGCAGCAGUGGGGAAUUUUACGCAAUGGGGGAAACCCUGACGUAGCGACACCGCGUGAGCGAAGAAGCCCCUUGGGGUGUAAAGCUCUGUCAGCUGGAACGAAAAAAAUGACGG
rnacentral:rRNA from 1 species